AUAUUAUUAUUUUGUUUAUUUUAAUAUAAAUAAUUAAUAUUUUAAUAACAGAUUAAUAGUGUUUAACUAUUUGAGAGAGAGCGAUAACAGGUCUGUGAUGCCCUUAGAUGUCCGGGGCUGCACGCGCGCUACAAUGUAGUGAUCAUUAUGUUCCUGUUUAGAGAUAAAUGGGUAAACAUUGAAAACAUUACGUAACUGGGAGUGAAAAUUGCAAUUAUUUUUCAUGAACGAGGAAUUCCAAGU
rnacentral:misc_RNA from 1 species